UCCCCGCCUGUCCCCUCUCGUCCCCUAGUUCAGACAGCCGGCUUGACAGCCAAUGACAAGUGCAGCUGGAUCUGCUGCUGUCCAUCACUGUGGACUGGCUUUCAGAGCUCCGUCCUGCUACUAGAGGCUCCACUGUCCCCUGCCAGACACCCUGCAAGGACCAAACAAGGCAAGGCCAGGCCCUGUAACGUGAAGGGAAUUGACGGUACAGCGACGGACAUGUGAAGAAAACACGACACAGGGUGGAUGUGCCACUGCCACAAGCAUGCCUGCUGGAACCAGAUCCUUCUGCAAUGUUAACCUGAGCUGGGAGGUGUGAUGACUUUUGCAGCAUGUUAAAAGAUUGGAUAAAGUUUUUAUCUGAGUCUCUCAGAGGAGCCACUUUGUGAUCAAUACAGCUGAGAAUAGAUCUGCUCAGGAUACAGAUAUGUUGCUGUCUGUC